rnacentral:rRNA from 1 species
AUUGAACGCUGGCGGCAGGCCUAACACAUGCAAGUCGAGCGGAUGAAGGGAGCUUGCUCCUGGAUUCAGCGGCGGACGGGUGAGUAAUGCCUAGGAAUCUGCCUGGUAGUGGGGGAUAACGUCCGGAAACGGGCGCUAAUACCGCAUACGUCCUGAGGGAGAAAGUGGGGGAUCUUCGGACCUCACGCUAUCAGAUGAGCCUAGGUCGGAUUAGCUAGUUGGUGGGGUAAAGGCCUACCAAGGCGACGAUCCGUAACUGGUCUGAGAGGAUGAUCAGUCACACUGGAACUGAGACACGGUCCAGACUCCUACGGGAGGCAGCAGUGGGGAAUAUUGGACAAUGGGCGAAAGCCGGAUCCAGCCAUGCCGCGUGUGUGAAGAAGGUCUUCGGAUUGUAAAGCACUUUAAGUUGGGAGGAAGGGCGGUAAGUUAAUACCUUGCUGUUUUGACGUUACCAACAGAAUAAGCACCGGCUAACUUCGUG